rnacentral:rRNA from 1 species
AUUGAACGCUGGCGGCAGGCCUAACACAUGCAAGUCGAGCGGUAGAGAGGUGCUUGCAUCUCUUGAGAGCGGCGGACGGGUGAGUAAUGCCUAGGAAUCUGCCUGGUGGUGGGGGAUAACGUUCGGAAACGGACGCUAAUACCGCAUACGUCCUACGGGAGAAAGCGGGGGAUCUUCGGACCUCGCGCCAUUAGAUGAGCCUAGGUCGGAUUAGCUAGUUGGUGAGGUAAUGGCUCACCAAGGCGACGAUCCGUAACUGGUCUGAGAGGAUGAUCAGUCACACUGGAACUGAGACACGGUCCAGACUCCUACGGGAGGCAGCAGUGGGGAAUAUUGGACAAUGGGCGAAAGCCUGAUCCAGCCAUGCCGCGUGUGUGAAGAAGGUCUUCGGAUUGUAAAGCACUUUAAGUUGGGAGGAAGGGUAGUAACCUAAUACGUUGCUACUUUGACGUUACCGACAGAAUAAGCACCGGCUAACUUCGUGCCAGCAGCCGG